AUUGAACGCUGGCGGCAGGCCUAACACAUGCAAGUCGAACGGUAGCACAGAGGAGCUUGCUCCUUGGGUGACGAGUGGCGGACGGGUGAGUAAUGUCUGGGAAACUGCCCGAUGGAGGGGGAUAACUACUGGAAACGGUAGCUAAUACCGCAUAACGUCGCAAGACCAAAGAGGGGGACCUUCGGGCCUCUUGCCAUCGGAUGUGCCCAGAUGGGAUUAGCUAGUAGGUGGGGUAACGGCUCACCUAGGCGACGAUCCCUAGCUGGUCUGAGAGGAUGACCAGCCACACUGGAACUGAGACACGGUCCAGACUCCUACGGGAGGCAGCAGUGGGGAAUAUUGCACAAUGGGCGCAAGCCUGAUGCAGCCAUGCCGCGUGUAUGAAGAGGGCCUUCGGGUUGUAAAGUACUUUCAGCGAGGAGGAAGGUGUUGUGGUUAAUAACCGCAGCAAUUGACGUUACUCGCAGAAGAAGCACCGGCUAACUCCGUGCCAGCAGCCGCCGCCG
rnacentral:rRNA from 1 species